GCAGCAGUGGGGAAUUUUGGACAAUGGGCGAAAGCCUGAUCCAGCCAUUCCGCGUGAGUGAAGAAGGCCUUCGGGUUGUAAAGCUCUUUCAGCUGGAACGAAACGGUACGCGCUAACAUCGUGUGCUAAUGACGGUACCAGCAGAAGAAGCACCGGCUAACUACGUGCCAGCAGCCGCGGUAAUACGUAGGGUGCGAGCGUUAAUCGGAAUUACUGGGCGUAAAGCGUGCGCAGGCGGAUUAUUAAGCAAGACGUGAAAUCCCCGGGCUUAACCUGGGAAUGGCGUUUUGAACUGGUAGUCUAGAGUGCGUCAGAGGGGGGUGGAAUUCCACGUGUAGCAGUGAAAUGCGUAGAGAUGUGGAGGAACACCAAUGGCGAAGGCAGCCCCCUGGGAUGACACUGACGCUCAUGUACGAAAGCGUGGGUAGCAAACAGGAUUAGAUACCCUGGUAGUCCACGCCCUAAACGAUGUCAACUGGUUGUUGGGGGAGUGAAAUCCCUUAGUAACGAAGCUAACGCGUGAAGU
rnacentral:rRNA from 1 species